rnacentral:hammerhead_ribozyme from 1 species
AUCCAGCUGACGAGUCCCAAAUAGGACGAAAAGUACGACCUGGAC